GGAGAAGAUGAGAUCAUACACAGUACCAUCAAAAUAUCAAAUCAUCCACAACAGCCAAUCAAACCAAGAAGAGUGAUUUCAAUAGUUUACUCUGCAGACAUUUAUUCAGCUGUGGUCUACUCAGCAGUGAGAACUGAAGACGUCGGUUAUGGACAAACAACCAUCAGAACAAGGAGGCCCAGACUUUAAACCAGAGCCAGACGUCGUCUACUCUUCACUGAAGUAGUCCACCAGUCCAACCACUGACGUCCAGCUGCUGGUCUCUAACUGGUCCUCCCAGCACCUCAGACCAGAGGAGAUCGACAAAAUGAUAAAACAUUUGUUAUUGUUUUGCAUUUUGCAGCAAAAUAAUUAAUGA
ensembl:lncRNA